rnacentral:rRNA from 1 species
UACGUAGGCGGCAAGCGUUGUCCGGAUUUACUGGGCGUAAAGAGCGCGCAGGCGGUCGGAUCAGUCGAAUGUGAAAGCCCCCGGCUCAACUGGGGAGGGUCAUUCGAUACUGUCCGACUCGAAGGCAGGAGAGGGAAGCGGAAUUCCCGGUGUAGUGGUGAAAUGCGUAGAUAUCGGGAGGAACACCAGUGGCGAAGGCGGCUUUCUGGCCUGUUCUUGACGCUGAGGCGCGAAAGCUAGGGGAGCGAACGGG